UACAGAGGGUGCGAGCGUUGUCCGGAAUCACUGGGCGUAAAGGGCGCGUAGGCGGCUUGGCAAGUCGGAUGUGAAAUCCCUCGGCUCAACCAAGGAAGUGCAUCCGAAACUGCUGAGCUUGAGUACUUAAGAGGAUCGCGGAAUUCCCGGUGUAGAGGUGAAAUUCGUAGAUAUCGGGAGGAACACCAGUGGCGAAGGCGGCGAUCUGGGAAGAUACUGACGCUGAGGUGCGAAAGCGUGGGGAGCAAACAGG
rnacentral:rRNA from 1 species